rnacentral:rRNA from 1 species
UACGUAGGGUGCAAGCGUUGUCCGGAAUUAUUGGGCGUAAAGAGCUCGUAGGCGGUCUGUCGCGUCGGAUGCGAAAACUCGGGGCUCAACUCCGAGCUUGCAGUCGAUACGGGCAGGCUAGAGUGCGGCAGGGGAGACUGGAAUUCCUGGUGUAGCGGUGAAAUGCGCAGAUAUCAGGAGGAACACCGGUGGCGAAGGCGGGUCUCUGGGCCGAUACUGACGCUGAGGAGCGAAAGCGUGGGGAGCAAACAGG